rnacentral:rRNA from 1 species
AGUGAACGCUGGCGGUAGGCCUAACACAUGCAAGUCGAACGGCCGCACAGUAAGAGCUUGCUCUUACGGGUGGCGAGUGGCGGACGGGUGAGGAAUACAUCGGAAUCUACUUUUUCGUGGGGGAUGACGUAGGGAAACUUACGCUAAUACCGCAUACGACCUACGGGUGAAAUCAGGGGAUCUUCGGACCUUGCGCGUUUUAAUGAGCCGAUGUCGGAUUAGCUAGUUGGCGGGGUAAAGGCCCACCAAGGCGACGAUCCGUAGCUGGUCUGAGAGGAUGAUCAGCCACACUGGAACUGAGACACGGUCCAGACUCCUACGGGAGGCAGCAGUGGGGAAUAUUGGACAAUGGGCGCGAGCCUGAUCCAGCAAUACCGCGUGGGUGAAGAAGGCCUUCGGGUUGUAAAGCCCUUUUGUUGGGAAAGAAAAGCAGCAGGUUAAUACCCCGAUGUUCUGACGGUACCCAAAGAAUAAGCACCGGCUAACUUCGUG